UUGUAGCGGAGCUUGGGUUAUGGUGUGGGAAAUACAAACAAAAAUAAAAACAAGUGGUUUUGGGUUCAGAGCUAAUGUCAAUAUUCUUUUAACUGUGUUUGUUCAUUUUCCUUCUUUUCUUUUUCCAAUCGCUCGGUUUUUUUCUUUAAUAUUCUUUUUUUUCUUUUCAUCUGAGUGUUCUUCCUUCGGUGAGUGCUUCUUUCGAACCAUCGAGUACAUUUAGUGUUCUCUUUUUUUCCGAUGAUCAUUUUUUCUUAUUCUAUUUUUUCUCGCACUCACCUUGGUUUUUG
rnacentral:lncRNA from 1 species